rnacentral:rRNA from 1 species
UACGGAGGGAGCUAGCGUUGUUCGGAAUUACUGGGCGUAAAGCGCACGUAGGCGGCUUUGUAAGUUAGAGGUGAAAGCCCGGGGCUCAACCCCCGGAAUUGCCUUUAAGACUGCAUCGCUAGAAUUGUGGAGAGGUAAGUGGAAUUCCGAGUGUAGAGGUGAAAUUCGUAGAUAUUCGGAAGAACACCAGUGGUGAAGGCGACUUACUGGACACAUAUUGACGCUGAGGUGCGAAAGCGUGGGGAGCAAACAGG